UCCUACGGGAGGCAGCAGUGGGGAAUAUUGGACAAUGGGCGCAAGCCUGAUCCAGCAAUGCCGCGUGUGUGAAGAAGGCCUUCGGGUUGUAAAGCACUUUUAUCAGGAGCGAAACUACUGUCGGCUAAUACCCGGCGGAACUGACGGUACCUGAGGAAUAAGCGCCGGCUAACUUCGUGCCAGCAGCCGCGGUAAUACGAAGGGUGCAAGCGUUAAUCGGAAUUACUGGGCGUAAAGCGUGCGUAGGCGGUGAGUUAAGUCUGCUGUGAAAUCCCCGGGCUCAACCUGGGAAUGGCAGUGGAUACUGGCUCGCUAGAGUGUGUCAGAGGAUGGUGGAAUUCCCGGUGUAGCGGUGAAAUGCGUAGAGAUCGGGAGGAACAUCAGUGGCGAAGGCGGCCAUCUGGGACAACACUGACGCUGAGGCACGAAAGCGUGGGGAGCAAACAGGAUUAGAUACCCUGGUAGUCCACGCCCUAAACGAUGCGAACUGGAUGUUGGUCUCAACUCGGAGAUCAGUGUCGAAGCUAACGCGUUAAGUUCGCCGCCUGGGGAGUACAGUCGCAAGACUGAAACUCAAAUGAAUUGACGGA
rnacentral:rRNA from 1 species